UUCAACGCCAUUUCUUUCUCUCUCUCUCUUUCUCUAACACUUGAACAUCAACAACUACUCUCUUAAUCUCUCUCUCUCUCUCUCUACAAAUCUAUCCAUUUCUGUCUAGAUAUAAUGUUCCUCUGUUAGCAGCCCUAGCCCUGCUUCAUCUAUGCUAGGGCUGCAGGAGAAGAAGAAAAUUAAACAAAAACCCAUUAAUCAAUCAAACCCUAGACUCAUUUACUUUUAAAGGAUUAAACAGAUAAAUAUAUACCAAUGGUCUUCAAGAACAAACUCUUCUUCUCUUCUAAGAAAUCCG
rnacentral:misc_RNA from 1 species